AUAACUGAUCAAAUGCAUGUGUUCCUCAAAUACUACUGAUGUGUUUCUUUGCAAAAACUGCCACACUCUGUGGAUGGAUUGUGAGCAAAUACAAAUAUUCAACACUUCACACUUGACUGGUUCACGUGUAUCCUGAGAGCCAAAUUCUACCUGGAAUCAAAGAAAAUCUAUGCCACCAGUAAUCGUAAGGAGUUUACCAAGACAGAAUUUGAACAUCUGUGUUUCACAAUUGGAAAAGAAAGGUGGCUGUCUGGUACCUGACUCCUUUCCGUGGCUGUUGAAGGAAAGAGAAGAAAAAGAAACAACAAACAUCUUGCAGCAUCUCUGGACUGCUCUUCUGGACAGAAAAUCAGCUUUUCUGCUUAAGAUAUUAAGAUAAGAUAUUAAGAUACCCAUAUUGGAAGGCUAAUUUUAAGGAGAGGAUUGUGCAUGAUAGCUUCCUUGCACGGUGGAGUUCUCUGCUGCAGAAGAGAACCCCGGUACAACGGAGUAUUCCCGCCAAAAUUUGUAGCUUUCUUUGCAUGGUGCAUUUCUUUUGCAUCUAAGAAAUGCACGGUGCAAGGAGUUCCCGCCAUUUGUAUGAGGAUUCGUGCCACAUUAUUGGCCGAUUCUAAAUUAUGCACACAUGGCGGCUAGCGAUUGGCUUGCUAGCCGUAUAAAGAGCUUGAGUGGUUUCCACCCAAGUUGGAGGACUCCAAGAACACCAAGUUGGAGGAAUUAGAGAACUCACCAGGAGGAGGAGACUUUGCGCUGUGUGAAGAUCUCUAAGCGCUGCGGAUCCUUACGGACCCAACACAUUUCUUAAGAAGGCAACAGAGGUCUAAACAGCCUCUGGCCUCUCCCCGUCGCCGAGCGCAAUCCUAGACAUAUCCCUUUCCUGUAUACUCAAGAUUCGAACCCACGGAGCUUUAACAACUCUGGGGCCAGAGAACCGGUCUGAACCCGCAGAGCUUCAGCAACUCCAGGGGAAAGAAAUUACCGAACCCGCGGAGCUUCACAGCUCCGGGGCUAGAACGAAUUUGUCGUAGUCCUCCAACGAGGAUUUAAGCGGAGCUGCGCCUGGAUGCUGACCAGCCUACACCACUACCACCACUGGUGUUGUACAUUGAAGUGGGAAUAGAAUGAAAAAGGACAUUGUCCAGGCUCAGACAUGCUUGUUCAUUUGAAUAUUUAGGAAAAAGAAACCAGUUUCAAAUCUAUUCUUCACCUAUUAUUUGGCAAGUGUUUUUGCAUAAAAUCUGUGUUCUUCAUGUAAGAUAAUUACUGUUCCAAUAGAUGCCAUACUGUGUAGAUGGACUAAGUUGGAUUAUACCUAUUCCUGACCAUGCAAAAGCCAUGCUUUUCCUCUCUGCAUCUCACUGGGCUCUUUCUUGUGUUUCCUUCAGCAUUUCUCUUUUCAUGCCUCUUUCUCACACAGUUACAAAUCUAGUUACCAGGAAAAUCAGCCAUAAUGCCUCUGUACUAGAUUCAGUUCAGAUCAUAUGUGCUCUCAGGUGUUUAUCCUUGUUCACUGUAUAACUGUAAGCCAUUAUACACAGUCAAUCAGAGAAAAAGACUGCCAGUCUAGAUGGAUUUUCCAAGACGGAUGGUCAGUUGUGAGAGAGAACUGGAGUUACAAGACUAGAAUCAUAGAUCUAUUAAGAGGAUUGCAGGAAGAGCAAACAAAGAUGGAGGAUAAAAUGGUGGGAUCUGUGAUAUUAUUUGGAGUCAGAGCACUACACUAUAUGAUAAAAGCACAACCUUAUGAUUUGGAUCAGCUGGAGGUAUACCACCUUACUGUUGUUUUUAUCACUUCUACUUGUCCAUGGGGAAAACCCAUGCCACGCACACUCUGGUGCAUGGCAGGUUAUCCCCAGGUGAGGUAGGGGAGGCUGGGCCAUCAAACUGGGGUCCUGGGGGCCUCUGGAAGUUGCAGCCUGGUGCUUCUGUAGCAGGGAGCCUGGCUGGCACCCAAAGUGUGUCUCCAGCUGGCCAAGCUAUGGUUUUAGGCAGCAUGCACAGCUGCCACAUGUGCCAUCCUGCUUUUUUUUAAGUGGAUUUUUUUUAUCCCAAGAUCUCCUGAGGUUAAAAAAAACAAAACCUUGUACUGCAAAGUAGCAGUGCAAAGAAUGCUGCAUAUGAGGUUUGUGGUGCUACAGAUGGAUCUACAGCGCCAUAUACCGCAUGUCCAUGCUCAUCUGGAUGCACCCAAAGGGUGCACAUCCACAAGUAUGCUCAUGCAGGGACAUGCGUUUCCCACAAGACAGAUAGCAGCAGCAAUAAAUAUUUGUGCUGCUGCUGUUUGUCCCCGGGCGUGCCUCUGCAUGUGUGCUCUGGCACAUGGCAAGCUGUGGGGUAGGGGUUGCUGGGGCCAGUAUCUAUGUUAGCCCCAGUAGCCUUAUCUGUGUUUCUGGGUGCCUCCGGGGCUUCAGCAGUAUUGAGCUGGCCUCUUGGAGCCUGGCCACCAGCCAGAAUAUGGUUCUGGCUAGCCAUGCUCCAGUUUCUGGUGGUGCACACUGCUGUCACAUGUGCCACUCCACUUUUUUUAGCAGCGUUCUUUUUUUACACCAGGAGAUCCCAGUGUCAAAAAAACCCACCAUGCUUUGAAUUAGCAGCACGGCACAGGACUGCAUGUUCACUGCAUAUGGUUUGCAGCACCUCAAAUGGCUUUGAGGUGCCGCAAAUCACACGUGUGCGCUCAUGGGGAUGCGCCCAAGUAGUCUUUCUACUCCUGCAGAUUCAGGGGCAGGUGGAAUACAUAACAUGUGGGGCUGGAAGAAAGGAAAGGUGCUUUUGGCUCCCAUGUACUAGGUCAGAUACUGUAUGGACCAGGAAGAGAGCUGAAGAAAUUUUUUUGUGAACUAACCCAAUUCAGUGGGAUUAAUGGUUUUAGUUUGAGGGAAAAGCUCAUCUUACUUACCAUGGUUCUUAUGGUUUCUGAUCCAGUUCAUGUACAUCUUCUCUUACAAGUAGCUUGAAACUAAGUUCUGUACCCUAAAUAGAAAAACCUGCAAAAACUCCUUAGAUCCUAAAAUGCUUUUUAUUCGUUAGGCUUUAUGAAUCUAUAGAAUUUGGUUGAAAACACCAAAGAAAAAAGCUUUAUAAAUGAUUUUUGAAUUACCAAAUGUUUGAAUGCUUUUGUAGUAGAAAUCCAAAUCACUAGUGUUCAUUGUUCCUUAGGCUUAACAGUAGCUAAAUUUACAUGUAUUUCCAGAUAAUUUUAUCUUUUGAAAGUGCCUACGAUAAUCAGUAUGAAUGCAAUAGUGCACGUGAGUAUUAAGGGUCCUAGAAGUAACCGCUGAAAACCCCCCCAAAACUGCCAAACACAGAACAAACAAAAAAAAAAACCCACUUACUGGUGGGAUUAAAAGAUAAACUAUAUUAAAAUACACCCAAAACUAAGUAAGUAUUUAUCAUCUAACUCAUAAUAUUGAACUUUUGCAAGCAAUGGAAGAAUGACAGAAAAGAAUCACCAUGUAUGCUACUAUGGUAGUGAACUGGCAUAAUGUUAAUUUGUUUUGAGUUUAAUUACAGGUUAUGAAAGUCUCUGUAAGCCCUUUGCUGAAGAAACAAAUUGUAUAAAAAUAAACAGUUUAUUCAUUUGAA